CAGGCCUAACACAUGCAAGUCGAGCGGAAACGAGUUAUCUGAACCUUCGGGGAACGAUAACGGCGUCGAGCGGCGGACGGGUGAGUAAUGCCUAGGAAAUUGCCCUGAUGUGGGGGAUAACCAUUGGAAACGAUGGCUAAUACCGCAUGAUGCCUACGGGCCAAAGAGGGGGACCUUCGGGCCUCUCGCGUCAGGAUAUGCCUAGGUGGGAUUAGCUAGUUGGUGAGGUAAGGGCUCACCAAGGCGACGAUCCCUAGCUGGUCUGAGAGGAUGAUCAGCCACACUGGAACUGAGACACGGUCCAGACUCCUACGGGAGGCAGCAGUGGGGAAUAUUGCACAAUGGGCGCAAGCCUGAUGCAGCCAUGCCGCGUGUGUGAAGAAGGCCUUCGGGUUGUAAAGCACUUUCAGUCGUGAGGAAGGUAGUGUAGUUAAUAGCUGCAUUAUUUGACGUUAGCGACAGAAGAAGCACCGGCUAACUCCGUGCCAGCAGCCGCGGUAAUACGGAGGGUGCGAGCGUUAAUCGGAAUUACUGGGCGUAAAGCGCAUGCAGGUGGUUUGUUAAGUCAGAUGUGAAAGCCCGGGGCUCAACCUCGGAAUAGCAUUUGAAACUGGCAGACUAGAGUACUGUAGAGGGGGGUAGAAUUUCAGGUGUAGCGGUGAAAUGCGUAGAGAUCUGAAGGAAUACCGGUGGCGAAGGCGGCCCCCUGGACAGAUACUGACACUCAGAUGCGAAAGCGUGGGGAGCAAACAGGAUUAGAUACCCUGGUAGUCCACGCCGUAAACGAUGUCUACUUGGAGGUUGUGGCCUUGAGCCGUGGCUUUCGGAGCUAACGCGUUAAGUAGACCGCCUGGGGAGUACGGUCGCAAGAUUAAAACUCAAAUGAAUUGACGGGGGCCCGCACAAGCGGUGGAGCAUGUGGUUUAAUUCGAUGCAACGCGAAGAACCUUACCUACUCUUGACAUCCAGAGAACUUUCCAGAGAUGGAUUGGUGCCUUCGGGAACUCUGAGACAGGUGCUGCAUGGCUGUCGUCAGCUCGUGUUGUGAAAUGUUGGGUUAAGUCCCGCAACGAGCGCAACCCUUAUCCUUGUUUGCCAGCGAGUAAUGUCGGGAACUCCAGGGAGACUGCCGGUGAUAAACCGGAGGAAGGUGGGGACGACGUCAAGUCAUCAUGGCCCUUACGAGUAGGGCUACACACGUGCUACAAUGGCGCAUACAGAGGGCGGCCAACUUGCGAAAGUGAGCGAAUCCCAAAAAGUGCGUCGUAGUCCGGAUUGGAGUCUGCAACUCGACUCCAUGAAGUCGGAAUCGCUAGUAAUCGUGGAUCAGAAUGCCACGGUGAAUACGUUCCCGGGCCUUGUACACACCGCCCGUCACACCAUGGGAGUGGGCUGCAAAAGAAGUAGGUAGUUUAACCUUCGGGGGGACGCUUACCACUUUGUG
rnacentral:rRNA from 1 species